rnacentral:rRNA from 1 species
AGAGUUUGAUUCUGGCUCAGGAUGAACGCUAGCGACAGGCUUAACACAUGCAAGUCGAGGGCAGCAUAAAAGUAGACAAUACCAUGGUGGCGACCGGCGCACGGGUGAGUAACGCGUAUGCAACCUACCUAUCAGAGGGGAAUAACCCGGCGAAAGUCGGACUAAUACCGCAUAAAACAGGGGCACCGCAUGGUGAUAUUUGUUAAAGAGAUUCGCUGAUAGAUGGGCAUGCGUUCCAUUAGGUAGUUGGUGAGGUAACGGCUCACCAAGCCGACGAUGGAUAGGGGAACUGAGAGGUUGGUCCCCCACACUGGUACUGAGACACGGACCAGACUCCUACGGGAGGCAGCAGUGAGGAAUAUUGGUCAAUGGGCGAGAGCCUGAACCAGCCAAGUCGCGUGAAGGAAGAAGGAUCUAUGGUUCGUAAACUUCUUUUGCAGGGGAAUAAAGUGCAGGACGUGUCCUGUUUUGUAUGUACCCUGAGAAUAAGGAUCGGCUAACUCCGUGCCAGCCGCCGC